UCUGAGCCCAUGGGUUCAGAACAAGGAAGUGCAAAGAUUACCACUGGUUUGCAAGCUGACAGGAUGUGGUACAUGUCAGCCCUCCCUCAGGAAGUAUGACAUACUGCCGGAACUGUGGCUAAUGGUGCGGACCACCCUGCUCACUGUUAGCAAAGUGGGUAGCUACCCUCUCUUCUGGAAGCCCCUCUGCAGCACUCCUCUUGGGAGUAGAAAAGGAAGUGGUCAAGCUCAGCCCCAGCCUCCUCAGCUUUCUGCAGCUGAGCCUCCAGACCUACAUUUGGGAGCUGAUCCGUCUUGCUCUCAGUUAGGGCCCAGCCCUUCUGUGGGGACCAGGAAAAUCUUUGCUCACCUGGAG
rnacentral:lncRNA from 1 species